rnacentral:rRNA from 1 species
AACGAACGCUGGCGGCGUGCCUAACACAUGCAAGUCGAACGGAUUUGAGGGGCUUGCUCCUCAAGUUAGUGGCGCACGGGUGAGUAACGCGUGGAUAAUCUGCCUGAUGCUCUGGGAUAACAUCUCGAAAGGGGUGCUAAUACCGGAUAAGCCCACGGACUCUUCGGAGUUUGCGGGAAAAGGAGGGGACCUUCGGGCCUUCCGACAUCAGAUGAGGCCGCGUCCCAUUAGCUAGUUGGUGGGGUAAAGGCCUACCAAGGCGACGAUGGGUAGCUGGUCUGAGAGGAUGAUCAGCCACACUGGAACUGAGACACGGUCCAGACUCCUACGGGAGGCAGCAGUGGGGAAAUUUGCGCAAUGGGGGAAACCCUGACGCAGCAACGCCGCGUGAGUGAUGAAGGCCCUUGGGUCGUAAAGCUCUGACAGAGGGAAAGAAGUGCAGGGUGGCUAAUAUCCAUCUUGCUUGACGGUACCCUCAAAGGAAGCACCGGCUAACUCCGUGCCAGCCGCCGCCGUAACAC